CUCUUCCUUUUUUUCUGUCCCCUAUUGUUCUCUUCCUCUUCCAUUUUUUCUCCCCCCACCACCUUUUCCAUUUUUUUCUUUGCCUUCUUAAGUGUAAAAGAAAAACAUGUACGCUCAAACAGAAGAAAACUGAAUGAUUGGGAGUUGUGUGAAAAUCUACCCACUUCCAACCCCACUGAGGUAACCAUAGUUUUCUUUUUCCUGUUUCAUACUUUUCAUUUUGGACUUACAAAAGGGGAGGGAGGGGGAGAAAGAGAGAAAUUGGCUGUUUUUUAUGAUUUCUUCAUUCAGUUGGUAUUCUUUUCUGUUUUGACCAAAAUAGUAAUCAAAUGUUCUGCAUAAUUUAAGGAUGUUUAUGAGGACAUCUUCGUAUGUCUGUGCAGACAGAUCUACCUCAGGCUUUUAAAAGCUCUAUGGUGUACCAUUAUCUGGGUGGUACGUCAGCACCACAGUGUUUAAACCUGCUGUUACUUAAAGAUGGAGUUUGAUCUGACUCAGAUGCUAACUAGGAGUGUAAUAAUGAAUAAGACCCUUGAUUUCCCAAAGUCUCAAUUUCUUCAUCUGCAAAAUGGAGAUAAUAUAAUUAAUAGUAUCUACUGACCAAGAUGGCCUUAAAGUUCACCUCAGUUUAACUAAACUUUAGACAGGAUUCUUCCUGAUUCUAGGCUUUUAACUGCCUUUUUUUAGGUCAUUUUCUUUAGAGAACUUCCAAAUUCCAUCUCGGCUCCUUUGAGAUGUAAAUCUUUCUAAGGGUCUAUUGCCAGUUUUACAACCUAGCUAUGUCUUUCUCAAAGAUCCAGGAGCCAUCUGUUUGAAACGGAAUCAUGGAAAAAGCACACCUUUCUCCCAAUCUCUGUGGUAGACUGGGAGCUUAAAUUUGGUGGGUCUCUUGCUCAACAUAUAAAGCUAUCUCUUGUAGUUCCCUAGUGGCCUAGUAGUCACUAUUGUGCUGCAAGAUUUCCUGGCCAAGUGCAGUCAAUCAAACUAUCUCUUUAUCCUUUGGAUAAAGCCAAUUAGUAAAUGAAGAUGGCCUAUGCCCUCCAAUAGUUUUCCAUUAUUUCACACCAGUGCUUAAACUGCUCCCCUCAUCCUUUGGGUGAGCAGAAUUGAAUUAGAAUUGAAUUGAGUUCAGAUGGAAUUAUGAUCUCCCUCUGUUGCAAAAGCCUUGAAUAAAUUCUUGCCUGUUUAACUUUGUCCAUUGCAAUUUUUGCUUUGACACUACUCUAUGCAGUUGUUAGCAGGGAUAAAUGAGGUAACAGACAUAAAGCACCCAAUGCUUGGUCACUGUUAAAUGCUCAGUAACCAUCAAUUAUUUUCAGUACCAUAAAUGAUUUAACCAUCCCUACACUGACUGACAUUUUCAUUAUCUCAGAAAUGCUUUCAUUUUUGCAGUACUCAGUUAACACUCCCAUAUAUUUACUCUUUCACAAUUGUGCAGAUAUUUCUGUAGGUUAUUUUUCUAGAAUUACAGAAUUACAUUUUAAAAUUUAGCAGGUAUUCACAAAGUGGACCUCAAAUAGUAAGAAGAAGCCUCAAGGAUUUGUCUUAGAGUUGUAUAGUGGCUUAAGCUGCACUCUCAAACUUCUGCCUAAACUACAUCUGCUCUGCUUUUGUUUUAUACAUUGAAGUUCAACGUAAGUUUUUCUGGAAAACAAAAUGACUAUGCAGUUCUGUUGUUAAAAACAAUAGUCACCACCUACAUAAACAUUUAUUUGUUAGGUCAUGGGGUUCAAGGAUUUGUGUUUUUAACAUUAUUUCCAGGGACCCCGAUGAAUAUUAAAUUUGAAAAAAUGGUGGGAAAAAAAAAUGUGCUUGGAAUCAGAUGCAUCUGGUAUUGCUAGGUUUAUGUUAUCUUUGGCUGUGCGCACAGCAUGUGGAAAUUCUUGGGUCAGGGAUCUAACCUGUGCCACAGCAGUGACAAUGCAAGGUCCUUAACCCACUGAGCCACCAGGGAACUCAUACUAGGUUUAAAUAUUAGGUUCAAAUCUAUCACUUUAUAAGCUAUAUAACAAUACCUCCUAAUCUAUCAUGUGCAUCAUUUCCAAUGAUCUGCUUUUCUGUAACUUACUUCAAUUACACAUGGCCAAUUAGAUUGCUCCCUUGGUGUUACCAAUCCCUCUCCCCUACUCUUGUCCUUAAGAGUGGUGGCUACUGGGAACCAGUUCAUUCCCUCUUCUCCCCAUCCCAAGUCUGUUUCACUGACAUGGCAGACAGUCCUUUCAAAUUAUGUUAGAUCUAUUUCUUUCACUCUAAUACAAAGCUCCCAAACUUUGAUGCACAUUAGAAUCUCUUAGGGAGGUUUUAAAGAUACUUGUUCCCAGGUUACACUUCAUACCAAUCAAUUCAGAAUGUCUGGGGAAGUAGUCUAGGGAUCAGUUUUUAAAUAUCCCUAGGUGACUCCAAUUUGCACAAUUGGGACCCACUGAUGUAACCGAAGGGAGGCCUGAAAUGUGGUAUACUUCCCCAAUUUUUUAUCCAGCUGUUAGUGCUUGGAUUAAUUUUAACUCAAGCUAACAAACAACUGCAAAACUUCAAUGAAAAAAUUAGAACCCACCUUCCAGAAGCAUCCCCAACAGUCCCAUCACAGUGCCUCUAAUACGCCCCUACCCCAGUACUGACACUUCUCCAUUUCCACCCCAUCCACUGCAGUAGGAGCAAUCAUAUGUUGAGGAUGUGGAAUGUGGCUUUAGAAAGACAUCAGAGGGAAAGCUGCAUUUGCAGUAGCCUUUGAGGAAGGAAAGGAUUUUCACAGGUGCAGAGAUGAAGGAAAAUGACUUAAAAAAACCCUCCUGCACUGUUGGUGGGAAUGUAAACUGGUACAGCCACUAUGGAGAACCGUUUGGAGAUACCUUAGCAAUCUAUACAUAGAACUUCCAUAUGACCCCACAAUCCCACUCUUGGGCAUCUAUCCGGACAAAACUCUACUUAAAAGAGACACAUGCACCCGCAUGUUCAUUGCAGCACUAUUCACAAUAGCCAGGACAUGGAGACAACCCAAAUGUCCAUUGACAGAUGAUUGGAUUCGGAAGAGGUGGUAUAUAUACACAAUGGAAUACUAAUCAGCCAUAAAAAGAAUGACAUAAUGCCAUUUGCAGCCACAUGGAUGGAACUAGAGAAUCUCAUACUGAGUGAAAUGAGCCAGAAAGACAUAUGAUAUCACUUAUAACUAGAAUCUAAUAUCAAGCACAAACGAACAUCUCCUCAGAAAAGAAAAUCAUGGGCUUGGAGAAAAGACUUGUGGCUGCCUGAUGGGAGGGGGAGGGAGUGGGAGGGAUUGGGAGCCUGGGCUUAUCAGACACAACUUAGAAUAGAUUUACAAGGAGAUCCUGCUGAAUAGCAUUGAGAACUUUGUCUAGAUACUCAUGUUGCAACAGAACAAAGGGUGGGGAAAAAAAUGUAAUUGUAAUGUAUACAUGUAAGGAUAACUUGAUGCCCUUGCUGUACAGUG
ensembl:lncRNA